UCCAGGGUAGCCUAGUGGUCAUGGCAUCUGCCCGGUAAGCGGAAGGUUGUGGGUUCGAUUCCCAUCCCUUGAAA
rnacentral:tRNA from 1 species